rnacentral:misc_RNA from 1 species
AUUUCUCAACUCAACACAAGGUUAACUUGUAGUUGAUGUUUGGAUAUUGAAGGCUGCUGGAUAAGUAUCAGCUCCUUUAAAAUGUAUUAGCCGAAUAUUUGUGUCAGCUUUGGUUUGAUAAUAAUCUAUCUGUGCUAUUGCUGGUUAACAAAGUUUCAGCUUCAAGUUGUCUCAUUUGAGACUGUCCAAUUUUUGGGCAUUAUUUUG